GACAAAAACUAGUGGCCCAUGGAUACAUUUCUACCUUUGAAUUUGACCCAGAACUCAUGGGUAGCUUCAGAUUUUUUUAGACCCAGAACUCAUGGGUAGCUUCAGAUUUUUUUAUUUCCUUUUUGCAGUCACAGCCCUUCCGCUUAAUUCAAACAUUUUCUCUUCUUUAUUCCAAAACCCACCUGGUCCUUGUAAUGUUUUGCCGAUUGCCGCCGCCACCCUGAUAUCCAUCAUUAUUCACUCGAUAAUUGAUGGAGACUAUGAUAAAGAAAUAUCAGCAGAAAUUCAAGAAAGCAAAAGAUGAAAUGAGUAAAUGGGACGACCUUCAAUCUCGCUUAAUUUCCCACUUUCGAAAUGCUUCUUCCAUUAUUUCCAGAUUACAGUUUUUUUGUUUUGGUGAUCAGAUUAUUCAAAACUCUAAAAACUAUGCCAGUUUAAAUUGUGUUGGAGGAAUGGAAGCUGCAGUGAUGCAAAAGCAGAUGGAUUCUUUGCAAACCAUUUUACUUUCCAUGAAAAAUACAAUUUUUAAAAAGAUUUUCAGGGAGGACUUUCGCGGUGUUGUUCUUUCCCUUGAGAAGGUUCAACAUGAUGGUAAACAGCUAGCAAAAGGUAGCUUUAAUCAGAUGAACAAGAAACAACUGCAACAUAGAAUUGGCGUAAAACCGACUCUUACAAAUUGCAUAGAUGGGCUUGUACUUCUCCAUGAAAUCUAUCACGACGAGUACCUUCUUAAAUCAUCAUUGGUUUCUGCACUUUCAGCUCUUGCCUUGAAACCCAAGCUCCAUAUGGGUUCAACUGCAGCCCUGUAAGGUGCAAGGGCACCUUGCCAAAGCAUUUGGGUGAUAAGUUCUGGUGAUCUGGGUGCCCUUCACCAACUUUUGGCUGAUCAACCCAAUAUAUUAAACGAGGAAGUACAAUACAUAUUUGACAUCGUAUUUGCGGAAGAGAUAUGUUGAUUUUAUGCAUGUCUGUUAUAGAGCCAGUAGUGUACUUGUAUCUUGCUACUGAAUUUUUUUAAUCUUGAAGCUGUGAACAUCACAAUAUUUGAUUCUUCAUAUAAAGCAUGGUAAUUGGAAGCUUUCUUUCAAUAAA